AGAAUGCGCGCACUUUCGGGUGACCGGCUGGGACUUCCUCCCGCCGGUUGAAACGGGAAGCCGGUGCCGCGCAUUGCUGGAGUUCCAGCCAUCCGCCAGUCCGGCGCUGCCCCCGCAACGGUGAGCAGGACAGCCCAGACACACCGCCACUGUGCAUCCAUCGCAUGGGAAGGCGUCUGGGCGGAAGCGGCCACGGCCGCUUCGCCUGCAAGCCCGGAGACCGGCCCGGAAGCCGACUGGUUG
rnacentral:ncRNA from 1 species